CCCUUAGACGUUCUGGGCCGCACGCGCGCUACACUGACCAGUGCAACAAGCAUCCGUCCUUGGCCGACAGGCCCGGGCAAUCUUUGAACGCUGGUCGUGAUGGGGAUAGACUUUUGCAAUUUUUGGUCUUCAACGAGGAAUUCCUAGUAAACGCGAGUCACCAGCUCGCAUUGAUUACGUCCCUGCCCUUUGUACACACCGCCCGUCGCACCUACCGAUUGGAUGGUCCGAUGAGGCCUCCGGACUCGGACCUGCUCUCCGUCAGGGGACUGGACCGGGGAAGUUGGUCAAAUCUUACCAUCUAGAGGAAGGUGAAGUCGUAACA
rnacentral:rRNA from 1 species